GUUGUGAGCUCAGUGGCAGAGCGCUCACCUAGCAUGUGCGAGGUCCUGGGUUCUAUCCUCAGCACCACA
rnacentral:tRNA from 1 species